rnacentral:rRNA from 1 species
GUUGUAUAGUCAAGUAAUUAAGUGCAUGUGGUGGAUGCCUUGGCAGUCAGAGGCGAUGAAAGACGUGAUAGCCUGCGAAAAGCUCCGGGGAGGCGGCAAAUAUCCUUUGAUCCGGAGAUGUCUGAAUGGGGAACCCACCUACUUUAAGGUAGGUAUUGCAACAUGAAUACAUAGUGUUGCAAGGCGAACGAGGGGAAGUGAAACAUCUCAGUACCCUUAGGAAAAGAAAUCAAUUGAGAUUCCCUCAGUAGCGGCGAGCGAACGGGGAUCAGCCCAUUAAGUUAUGUGUGUUUUAGUGGAACGCUCUGGGAAGUGCGAACGUAGAGGGUGAUAUUCCCGUACACGAAAGGGCACACAUAAUGAUGACGAGUAGGGCGAGGCACGUGAAACCUUGUCUGAAUAUGGGGGACCAUCCUCCAAGGCUAAAUACUCCUGACUGACCGAUAGUGAACCAGUACCGUGAGGGAAAGGCGAAAAGAACCCCUGUGAGGGGAGUGAAAUAGAUCCUGAAACCGCAUGCAUACAAGCAGUGGGAGCACCUUCGUGGUGUGACUGCGUACCUUUUGUAUAAUGGGUCAGCGACUUAUAUUCAGUAGCGAGGUUAACCGUAUAGGGGAGCCGUAGAGAAAUCGAGUCUUAAUAGGGCGUUUUUAGUUGCUGGGUAUAGACCCGAAACCAGGCGAUCUAUCCAUGAGCAGGUUGAAGGUUGGGUAACACUAACUGGAGGACCGAACCCACUGUCGUUGAAAAGCCAGGGGAUGACUUGUGGAUAGGGGUGAAAGGCUAAUCAAGCCUGGUGAUAGCUGGUUCUCCCCGAAAGCUAUUUAGGUAGCGCCUCGGACGAAUACCAUAGGGGGUAGAGCACUGUUUCGGCUAGGGGUCAUCCCGACUUACCAAACCGAUGCAAACUCCGAAUACCUAUGAGUACUAUCCGGGAGACAGACUGCGGGUGCUAACGUCCGUAGUCAAGAGGAAAACAAUCCAGACCGCCAGCUAAGGCCCCAAAAUCAUAGUUAAGUGGGAAACGAUGUGGGAAGGCAUAGACAGCUAGGAGGUUGGCUUAGAAGCAGCCACCCUUUAAAGAAAGCGUAAUAGCUCACUAGUCGAGUCGGCCUGCGCGGAAGAUGUAACGGGGCUAAAACUAUGUGCCGAAGCUGCGGAUGUAUACUUUGUAUACGUGGUAGGGGAGCGUUCUGUAAGCCGAUGAAGGUGUGUUGAGAAGCAUGCUGGAGGUAUCAGAAGUGCGAAUGCUGACGUGAGUAACGACAAAACGGGUGAAAAACCCGUUCGCCGAAAGACCAAGGGUUCCAGUCCAACGUUAAUCGGGGCUGGGUGAGUCGACCCCUAAGGCGAGGCCGAAAGGCGUAGUCGAUGGGAAAAUGGUUAAUAUUCCAUUACUUCUGUGUAAUGCGAUGAGAGGACGGAGAAGGCUAAAUCAGCCUGGCGUUGGUUGUCCAGGUGAAAGGAUGUAGGCAUGUAUCUUAGGCAAAUCCGGGGUACUCUAUGCUGAGAUCUGAUAGCAAGCUGUACUUGUACAGCGAAGUGGUUGAUGCCAUGCUUCCAGGAAAAGUCUCUAAGCUUCAGUUACACAGGAAUCGUACCCGAAACCGACACAGGUGGUCAGGUCGAGUAGACCAAGGCGCUUGAGAGAACUCUGCUGAAGGAACUAGGCAAAAUGGUACCGUAACUUCGGGAGAAGGUACGCUGUUGUUGGUGAUGGAACUCGCUUCCUGAGCUGACGACAGCCGCAGAAACCAGGCCGCUGCAACUGUUUAUUAAAAACAUAGCACUCUGCAAACACGAAAGUGGACGUAUAGGGUGUGAUGCCUGCCCGGUGCUGGAAGGUUAAUUGAUGGGGUUAGCGUAAGCGAAGCUCUUGAUCGAAGCCCCAGUAAACGGCGGCCGUAACUAUAACGGUCCUAAGGUAGCGAAAUUCCUUGUCGGGUAAGUUCCGACCUGCACGAAUGGCAUAAUGAUGGCGGCGCUGUCUCCAGCAGAGGCUCAGUGAAAUCGAAAUCGCUGUGAAGAUGCAGUGUACCCGCGGCUAGACGGAAAGACCCCGUGAACCUUUACUGCAGCUUGACACUGAACUUUGACCUUACUUGUGUAGGAUAGGUGGGAGGCUUUGAAGCUGGAACGCUAGUUCCAGUGGAGCCGUCCUUGAAAUACCACCCUGGUAAUGUUGAGGUUCUAACUCUGUCCCGUGAUCCGGGACGAGGACCGUGUCUGGUGGGUAGUUUGACUGGGGCGGUCUCCUCCUAAAGAGUAACGGAGGAGUACGAAGGUGCGCUCAGCGUGGUCGGAAAUCACGCGUAGAGUAUAAAGGCAAAAGCGCGCUUAACUGCGAGACCCACAAGUCGAGCAGGUACGAAAGUAGGUCUUAGUGAUCCGGUGGUUCUGUAUGGAAGGGCCAUCGCUCAACGGAUAAAAGGUACUCUGGGGAUAACAGGCUGAUACCGCCCAAGAGUUCAUAUCGACGGCGGUGUUUGGCACCUCGAUGUCGGCUCAUCUCAUCCUGGGGCUGAAGCAGGUCCCAAGGGUAUGGCUGUUCGCCAUUUAAAGAGGUACGCGAGCUGGGUUUAGAACGUCGUGAGACAGUUCGGUCCCUAUCUACCGUGGGCGCUGGAAAUUUGAGAGGAUCUGCUCCUAGUACGAGAGGACCAGAGUGGACGAACCUCUGGUGUACCGGUUGUGACGCCAGUCGCAUCGCCGGGUAGCUAUGUUCGGAAGGGAUAACCGCUGAAAGCAUCUAAGCGGGAAGCCUACCUCAAGAUAAGAUUUCCCUAGGACUUUAUGUCCUCUAAAGAGCCGUUCGAGACUAGGACGUUGAUAGGUUGGAUGUGGAAGCAUAGUGAUAUGUGAAGCUGACCAAUACUAAUUGCUCGUGAGGCUUGACUAUACAACACCCAAGCAGUUG